UACAGAGGGUGCAAGCGUUGUUCGGAAUUAUUGGGCGUAAAGCGCGUGUAGGCGGCUUUGCAAGUCGGAUGUGAAAGCCCCGGGCUCAACCCGGGAAGUGCACUCGAUACUGCGUGGCUUGAGUACUGGAGAGGUUGGUGGAAUUCUCGGUGUAGAGGUGAAAUUCGUAGAUAUCGAGAGGAACACCGGUGGCGAAGGCGGCCAACUGGACAGAUACUGACGCUGAGACACGAAAGCGUGGGGAGCAAACAGG
rnacentral:rRNA from 1 species